rnacentral:tRNA from 1 species
GAGCAAGAAGCGAAUUAUUGCUAUCGGUUUCGACCCGAUGAUUGGUCUUUUGACCCUUUCUCU